rnacentral:misc_RNA from 1 species
AAACUGCGAUAAGUAGUGUGAAUUGCAUUUAGUGAAUCAUCGAAUCUUUGAACGCACCCUGCACUCACUGGUAUUCCGGUGAGUACGCCUGUUUCAGUAUCAUUGAAAACACACAAUCAAAACACUUUCUUUGGUUUGAUUGGCUUUGGGUCUAUCAAAAAGUUUGGCUUGUUUCUUACAAGCCAAGCGGCCUGAAAUAUAUUGUCUGGCUAAUUGCAUCGUUGAUGAUCGCUAUUAGACUUUGGCUUUUUUAAAUGAACUGGAGGUUGAUUAACCAGUUUUAGCUUUAGUCAAAUGGUCAUUGUAAAAAAAAUUCUCGAUCUUGGCUAGGUGUUUAUAGCCGAAAAUUUUUUUUUGGCUAUAACCGAAACCAAUAUAAUCACAUUUAGUUAUCGAUCUGAAAUCAGGUGGGACUACCCGCUGAACUUAAGC